UUGUGUAUUAGAUAUUUUGAAGUGUGUAGGUUAAAAAUUUUUGAUAAAUUUUUUUGGCUUCCUAUAGCAAAAGUUGUUAAAAAAUUAGUAGCUAAAAAAUUUGGUAAAAAACUAGACUUCCAAACAGGCCUUUUUUUAUGACCCCGUUUAGAAUCUGAGUUUUUUGAAAAUUUGUCUAAAACUUUACUGUGGUGCACUGUAGAAGUUUUUGGAAAUAUUUUUUAAGAUGAAAAACUUUUUUUUUAACUUUUCUUUCUUUUUCUCUUACUUUUCUUUUUCUUUCCUUCAUUUUUCUUUUCUUUCCUCAUUUUUUCUUCUUCUUCUACUCCCUUCCUCUGCCUUCCCAGCAGCCAUGGCCCUAUCAUUUUUUUCUUUUAUUUCUUUUUCUUUUUCUCUUUCUCUUUCUUUCUUUUUCUUUUUCUUUUCUUUCCUCUCUUCUUCUUCUUCCUUCCCCCUCCCUCUUCCCUCGCGGUACCAUACCUCUGCCUCGUUGAAGAACCAGCAGCCAUGGUCCCAAAUUUUUUAUUUCUUUUUCUCUUCCCUCUUCUCUCUCUUUGCUCCUCUCUUCCCCUCUACUCCCCUUUACCCUCCUCCUCUCCCUUCGAAGCCAGAGAACCAACAGCCAUGGUGUCUCGAUUUUUUUUUUGUUUUUUUCUCUCUCCCUUUUCUCCAUCUCCAUCUCCCUCUCCCCUCUCCUCCACUUUCCUAUUCUCCUCCCCUCCUCCUCCUCGUUGCCCCGCAAUCCAGUCGCAUGACCAGAUCGCAGCUAGGGAAGAGAGAGGUGGCCAGAGAGGCAAGGGGAGAGGGGAGGGAGGAGGGAGAGGGGGAGGGGAAGAGGGAGAGGGAGAAGGAGAAAGGAAGGAAAAAGGCGCUGGAAGUAGCGGCGGAGGUUGUAGCUGGCGAUGAAGGUGUGGUGGAUCAGGGUGGAAGAGAAAGAAGAAGAAAAGAGGAAGUUUUUUGUGUAUUAGAUAUUUUGAAGUGUGUAGGUUAAAAAAUUUGAUAAGUUCUUUUGGAUUCCUGUAGUUAAAUUUGUUAAAAACUAGUAGUUAGAAAAUUUGGCCAAAAAACUCCGUUCCAAACAGGUCCUAUAUUCUUUCACAGUCCUGUAUCCAAUAGAAAGCGUAUCCUAAUUUAUAAUAAAUGACAAUCACAAAUUACAAUCCUAUGACCUUGAAAUGCAAUCGGAGCCAUUUGAUCAUGCCCUUUAA
rnacentral:lncRNA from 1 species